rnacentral:rRNA from 1 species
UACGUAGGGGGCUAGCGUUGUCCGGAAUCAUUGGGCGUAAAGCGCGUGUAGGCGGUUCGGUAAGUCCGCUGUGAAAGUCGGGGGCUCAACCCUCGGAUGCCGGUGGAUACUGUCGGACUAGAGUACGGAAGAGGCGAGUGGAAUUCCUGGUGUAGCGGUGGAAUGCGCAGAUAUCAGGAGGAACACCUAUAGCGAAGGCAGCUUGCUGGGACGUUACUGACGCUAAGGCGCGAAAGCGUGGGGAGCGAAUAGG